ensembl:lncRNA
CUGGGGACCCCUCGGGCUCUGGCAUCGAGGGGCUGUGCUGUAGUCCGUCCCCUGCUGAGCCCACAGGGGCAGCCGCCGUCCCACACGGGGCCACCUGGGUGGGUUCCGGGACCGCCCGGCGGACUCAAAUUCAGCGGGUAGAAGGGCUUUGGGACUCAAAAGUCGAGUUUUUCGGGGUGACCCCUUCGCCCUCCCACCCACUUAACCCCGGGUUUACGUUCUUGUGUCCUCGCCCUCCCGCAUCUCCGGUCCCGCAGCGCGGGUGCCGUUCCGUUCUGACGACCCCGGACCGUUUGUAAAGGGGUUUAGUGAAAGUGAACACAGGCAUGGCUGGAUCUGAAAAUGGGCACUCCCUGCACGGUGGUCUACGCAGCUUCUCCACCGGGAGCCAGCGAUGAAAAGCGCCUUGGCCCCGGGAGGGCGCAGAGGGCUGGGCUCCUAGGUCGGGGACUCCCUUUGCUGGUCGAGGGGAGGUGUGGAUGUAGGUGUUCUUUGCUGGGGUGGGACGCCUGCCACAGGAUGGCUUGCCAAGCAGUUCUCAGUCAUCUGCAGCAAGGACUCCGGGGUCACUGCCCAGGUCUGGACACUGGUGUUGAAAACCCCUCAGGACACAGGAGACAGGGAUCACGUGCUUGAUCCUCCCGCCCCUUUUCUGUGUUGCUGUGACCAAAGAGUCAGGAUCCCAUCCUCUCCUCUCCAAAUGCCAAGAAGCCCCCGGGGAAGGACCACAAGGGGCCAUGUCAGGCUCUGAAACUGGGCUAGUGAUGGCCACCCAUGGUCUUAUUUUCAAGUAAAACUCCAGAUUUUGACAAAGGGUGAGCAGGCUCUGGCUGCACAGCCACAACCAAGGAUGGAGGAGUCGCCACCAGCCAAAGCUCCAGGUUAACUCUCGGGUUAAGCUCCUUUGCCCUCCAGCACCUCCAGCACAGCAUUGUCGAAGCUUUCUCUCUGGCAGGGCUCCGGCAAAGGGGAGCUAAGGUCCUGCUCCUCUGGCAAAUGGGCACCCGGGGCCAACGUCAGCGGUGCCUGGAUGUAGCUGUGACCCCAUUAUACUCUCAGUCCGGUCCAGCUGAGGGAUCCUGGUCACACCUAGAAGAAUCAAAGGUAUACAGGUGGCCUGUAGACUGUUAGACGCUAGCCUGGGUUGAGCGCAGUCUAGCCAGGCGGCCGUGCAGUGAUCAUGCAGACAGAAGGUGACCUUUCAGGACUGCCCCUGACACCUGCAGGGCCCAGGCUCAUUUCCAGGGCCUCCAUCAGGUGUCACCCGCUUGCCCAGAUUCUUCUCUCAAAUGAAGCAAAGACCUUAGGCCGAGGAGGGAAUUGAUUUAAGACCCACUAACAGAGGUUUGAAAACUUCUCAAAUAAGAUGAUGAGGGGGAGAGUGCACAAUUUAGCCCAGCGAGUGGAGCACACAGCAGCCUGGCAACAGCCUCCCGGUUCUGUAGGUAAAGAGCCGCCCCGAGGAGCGUGGUCAUGGGCUUUCUCCCUUCACGUGGACAGAAAAGGAACAGAUGAGUGCAGAGUGCCAUGCGGCUGAGGGACAGUGGCUGGAAGGGAACAGGAGGACUUCCCAAGGCUGGAGGUCUUGAAAAACAGGCUCAGUCUCUUUGAUCCAUGAUGAGUCAAGUGUGGAGAGGGAGGAAAGGGGAGAAUCCCUAUUCCUUCUGGAACUCUGAGGGGCCUCCAUGAUGUUCACCUGGGCAGUAGGGAGCACAGCUCCUUGGGAUCCAAUUCAACCCCAACGUUAACUGGACAUCUAUGAUGUGCGAGGCACCAGGCUGGUCUGGGAGAUAGUCGACUGCUGAGCUGCUGACCUACUGUGGGCAGAUGAAGGACUGAAGAGCCAGAGCACUGAGGAGACUGGGCCCAAUUGUCUUGAGCAGCCCACCCCUCCCCAGCCCUGUGUCUGUGUUUGGGUUCAUUUGGACAGUCGUGAUGGUCGGGUGAUGGGCAUGCCCAUCCACACUCCCCCUCAGGGCACUUUUGUGUAGCCUUAGGAACAAAAAUAAAGAUCUUGUUUUAUAUACCUUGCCUAGACAAGGUCUGGGAUGUGUGGUUAGAAAAUAUUUUUGUUUUUAUGGAAUUGCUAAACCCCUGGAGUGCCAGAGGAGGCCACAUGGAGUGUGGCUCCUGCGGCCUGUUUUCUUCUGCGUGGGAAGUGAGUCUGGACAUAAACGGUGACGCUUAACCCUGCAUCCUGGAAGUUCUAGGUUUAGAUAAAAUGUUUCCGAAUUACCCAGUGAGUGAGGAAGACCACACGAUCUUUAAAUUCCCUCCCAGCUCUCACAUCCUGUGACUAAUCAGCAGCUGUCCUAACUUAAAUCAGACAAAAACUAGUGGGUC